CUCAGGACGUCAGCUCGUUUCCAGGGGGGACGCCUGUUAGAGUUGCAUGAUUUUCAUGUUUCUUUGCAUGUGAAAUUUGUCCCACAGAGCUGGUUAAAUUAAUUUUCUUAGAACGAUAAUGUUAACUAGAUGCGAUUAUGCAUCCUCCAGAGCUUUCGGCGUAAUAAACGAGCAAAACUGGCAGCGCUCCACACAUCUGCCUCACCACAUGAAGAGAAUGGGCGUAUUGUUGUGGUGCGAAUGCGAAAAACAAUGUUGCGUUCUGUCUUCAUAAAUAUUUUACUGUUCGGCGAAGGCUUCUGGUCGAGCCCAUAGACAUGACUCACAACAGGCGAGUCACGUUCAUUUCCGCCCUUGCCUACUUCCUCUCCGAUUCCUGUCUCACUUAUUAUUCCUCUUCUCCAGUUCUGUCAUCAAGGCCCUGCUGCUGUUCUGGAGGAAAGCUUGCAUGGAGGACGUAGGUGGAAACAGCAGAACUCUUGGCAUUUCUGUUGACAUUUGCCAUAAUGUGACUGCAGAAAAUCUAAUAUGGAGUAUGGAGCAGCCAGAGAGAGGAAUGCACAGAGUCUGGACUGGGCGAUGGCUCAUGCCAGUUUCAGAGGGUGCUAAAACUUAUUGUCUGUGGAAUAACCACUUUAUCCUGGUCAGUGUUGAGGAUUCCCAGGAAUACAGCCUGAAUGGGACAUCAAUCCAAGGCAUGGGGUGAACAUGUGACCAGCACUACCCUGAGCUCAGGAUGGACCCGGGGACCCUGGAGCUGUGAGGCAACACCACCGUACCACUCUUGGAUUGUAAAUCUUAAAGGUCACAACACAGGCUAUGGAUAUUUUAUUAGGCGUAUCAGACGCUCGCUGGCCGUGCUGUGAAAAUUAUACAUGCAGACGCUCAUCUAAGUUUCCAAAUCUGUCAUUGCUUAACCCUUGAGUAUUUUCUAUGUUACGAACACCUCUACUUUUUUUGACUACGUUUUGGGUGGGAGAUCAUCCAAAGGAGCACGACAUGGAAUGUUUCUGUCCUCAAGGAAAAGGAUCAAAACCUUUCCCACAAGUAAUCUCAUCAUGACCAGAUGACUACAUGUGAAGCCAUCCUCAGCAGCAGCAAGUGAUUUUCAGCUGAUGAGAACUCCAGAUAGAAGUAGGGCAUGAGGACGGAUCAGGCAGGUCCAGAGAGCAGGAGGCGUCAGGAUCACUGAAUACACAAAACACAACGAUCCAAGAUGGCAGAUGAUCCAAGAUGGUGAUGCGCUAGGUCGCAGCGGCCAUACCUGUUCUCAACCAUGGUGCGAUUUUUGUACUUUUCUUGCAGAGACUGCAUCUUUAAGUUUAGAAUGUCAGUAGGAACAACUGGUUAACACUUCGACAACUGUCAACAGCUUUUGGAUAUAGGAAAACACAACCAGAUGGAGACACGCUGGAGAAAUUACGCUGCACAGGCAUUUUAAGGACUCUGUGUGGCCAUCCCGUGGCAUCACCUAGGUUCCGCGCCCACCCGGAAGUUCAGCAAAAGCGGUGUGCAAAAAAACUGAAGCGCAGCAAGAUAUCUGGACCCCAUGCAAGGCUCAAGGCUAACCAGAGCCAGCCGGCACUCCCUUCUCUUCUCCUCUCCAACAUCCAUAGAUGAUAAACUGAACUGUUUAAGACUGCUUCUGACCUCCCGGAAAGAGAUAAAAUACUACUGUGCUCUCAUCUUCACCAAGACAUGGCUGUACGAAGGCAUCGCUGACUCCGUGAUUCAGCUAGACAGGCUUCCACGCCCGCCAACAGAAACGCUUCCUUGUUGGGUAAGAUGUGUGGCGGCUUGUGCAUUUACAUCAAUAGCAUCUGGUGUACGAAUGCAGCGGUGGUCUCUGUGCGUUGUUCAGCACUUGUAAAGGUUUUAGCAGUUAAAUCCAGACCUUUUUAUAUUCCCAGAAACCUCACUACAGUUGUUAUUGCUGUGUACAUCCUGCCUAGCAUUAAUGCUAAAGCUAGCGGUGCCCUGAGCGAAUUCUAUGGGAGAAUCAGUGAGCUUCAGACUGCUCAGGUCCUCGCUGAGGACUUCAACAAUGCAUCGCUCAAGUCAGUUCUCGCCCUAUUUUAUCGAAACAUUGACUUUGCUACAUGAGGGGAUAACAUACGAGAGCUUGUAUAUACAAACAUCCAGCACGCAUACAAGGCUGCACCCCUCCCCCACCUUGGACAAUCGGACCACAUCUCCGUACUUUGCACCCCCGCGUACAGACCCAUUAACAAACGAGUCAGACAGGCCAUGGGAGAGGUGAGAACCUGGCCACAAGGUUCUAUAUCUGCCCUACAAGACUGUUUUGACUGUAAAGACUAGAACAUAUUCAGGGAAGCGGUUACCUAUGAACAUUCAGUGGACCUGGACAGGAGUAUAUGGCCUCACUGACUGGCUACAUCAGCAAGUGCAUUGAGGAUGUCACUAUCUCCAAAACUUAUUUCCCAUGCAAGCCAUAAUUCCUGGUUCUCUGCAGCGCUACGCAACCUGGUGAAAAUCAGGGAUUCUGCUUUCAAGUACAAAGACAAGAGAGGCUUGCACUACAGCUAGGGCCAAACUGUCACGGGCCAUCAAAGAGGCAAAGCAUGCAUAUGCAGAGAAGAUUAAUGGUUAUUUCAUGGACUCAAAGGGCACUUGGCAGAUAUGGCAGGGCAUUCAAACCAUCAUAGACUACAAGCCAACAUGUCAGGCCUGCAGCAGUGAGCCCUCUCUGCCAGAUGUACUGAAUGACUACUUUGCACGUUUGGAGACACAAAACAGGGAACCAGCAAAGGCAGCGACCCCCUUCCCCAAUGACCAGGUACUCUGUCUUUCUGCUGCUGAUGCCAGGAAGAUUCUUUGCAGAGUCAGCCCAUGAAAAGAAGCAGGCCCUGACAAACAUACCUGGCCGGGUGCUCAGGGAAUGUGCUGAUGAGCUUGCAGACAGCUUCACAGAUAACACAUACCUGAGCACAGCUGUGGUACCUUCAUACCUCAAAACCACAAAAAUCAUCCCAGUGCCAAAGAAAUCUACCAUGUCCUGUCUCAACAACUACCAGCCUGUAGCAGUCAUGCCAUCAUCAUGAAGUGCUUCAAGAGGCUGGUAUUGAGGCUCAAGAAAACGUGACUGCCACAUGAAUCAGAACCCCUACAGUUUGCUUAUUGCUGAAACCGUAUCUCCGAUGACGCCAUUUCAGCUGCCCUCCAUUUGACCCUCUUGCACUUGGACAAAAAGGACAGUUGCGUCAGAAUGCUGUUUACUGACUUGAGUUCAGCAUUCAACACGGUCAUCCCACAGUAGCUGGUACAGAACUUGGACCUGCUGAGCACAAAGACCUCGCUUUGUAAUUGGAUCCUAGACUUCCUGACUGGCAGGCCUCAGUCGGUCUCUAGAGGACACAACACCUCUGGGGUCCUCAGACUGAGCACAGCCCCCCCACCAUGGCUGUGUUCUCAGCCUGCUACUGUUUACUCUGCUGAUGCGCAACUGUGCUUCCCAGCACAGCUCAAAUUACAUCAUGCUUGCAGAUGACACAACCGUAGUGGGUCUCAUCAGUAGUCCACCAAAAGAAGGUCAGGAUGUAAUUCCAAUGGUGUAGCUACCACAGUCCCACCAAAAGGCUCAUGAAAAUAAGUCCCACACUGCCUGCACAGCUGCUGCCGGGCAACAUCGCUCCAAACACCGCGCCAUGGAUCCACAAAGCGAGCACAGAAGCACCGCCACGCAGAGCGCUGGUAUGUCCACCUGUACAGCCGCUGUGACACUACCAAGCAACAUCACUUGGAACAUCGUACCAAGCACAAAAGCACCACCGCACAGAGCACUGGAAAACCACGAUGUUGAAAGAGCAAUGCGCUCACUGCAUUCCAUAGCGAGGCGCACAGGCAUCACUCACGGCGGACCGAGGCCUGGAGGGAACUGAUGCCCAAAACUGGGUCUGGAGUUACAUCACAACUGGUGGACAAAACACUCAAACAAAAACCAAACAUCAAACUACACAAACACACACAAAACCAAAAGGGAAAAUAAAAUAAAAUAAUCAAAAGCUCCAGCCCUGUGAUGACCUGGUGACUUGUCCAGGGUGUAUCCCUCCUCUCGUACAUAGUCAGCUGGGAUAGACUCCAGCUUGCCUGCAACCCUGUAGAACAGGAUAAAGCGGCUACAGAUAAUGGAUGGAUGGAUGGAUGGAAAAGCUCCGGUGAGAAGCAGUAGUCAGAAUGCGCACGGUGUACUCUCAACUGGAAAUGGAAAACAUUAUUUAUAUACCUUAUUUUAUAAUCUUUUUUUUUUUUAACUAUAAAUGCACCAUGGGCAGCCUGAGGGAAACGGUAUUUCAGUGCACUGUGUAUUUGUAUAUGAACAUAUUGACAAUAAAGCUCUAUUGAAUCUUGAACACGA